rnacentral:lncRNA from 1 species
GCAAAACUGGUGGUGUCAGUAAUAUCCACUUACCCUAUAUAUCAUUUCUUUUUGAGUCAUCACAUUUUUGUAAUUCUUUCUUCCCCUUUAUAUAUGUAGUCAUUUUUCUCUUAAACCUUAAAAGAUAUUAGAGGUAUAGUGGGUGAACAUUAUGUGGAUACAUAUAAAAUUUAAACAUACUACAUAAUCAUUGUUAUCUCCCAACAUAUCUCACAGCAUAUCGUUUACAUAGGGGCUUUUCCACUCCUGUGCCAAGUCCUUUCCUUGAGAAGAUACCCAUAGCCACAGAAGUACACCCAUGACACUUUCCCACCCUCAACACCUCUCCAUAUUUAAGUGAGAUGGAUACUUGACUCAAGGAUAUCUGAUUUCCUGGGCUGGGGAUAUGGCUCAAGCGAUAGCGCGCUCGCCUGGCAUGCGUGCGGCCUGGGUUCGAUCCUCAGCACCACAUACAAACAAAGAUGUUGUGCCCGCCGAUAACUAAAAAAUAAAUAUUAAAAUUCUCCCUCUCUCUCUCUUUUUCCUGGUUGGAUUGAAGAUAGUGAACUUGGGUUUUGGGUUUCAAGAAAGAUGAGCUGGAUCAAUUGGAAUUCACUUCUGGGGUACUAAUUGAGACUGAGUCCAUUGGGUGUGGUCUCUAUAGCUAGAUGGAGGGUUGUGUAGAGUUGGGAGCAAGAGGCGUCAGUACUGAUGCACAUGCAAUCAAAUGAGUAAGUAGAGAGGGGAUAGAGGUGUGCAUCGAGGAGCAGAGACCAUGGGACGUCUGAGAAAUGGGGAUCUUCUGUUGAAUUUGGCUUCAAUAUAUGAUUUGCAAUGACAUCUAAGCUGUGUCUUCUAUUGCAUUUCCUACAUACCUCAACUUUGUUGGGGUCUCUGGGGUGCAGUUCUGUAG